rnacentral:pre_miRNA from 1 species
UCUUGUGGAUGAGCAAAGAAAGUGGCUUCUUGAGAUGAAAUCUGCUCCUGGUGAAGAUGCUGUGAA